UACGUAGGGACCAAGCGUUGUUCGGAUUUACUGGGCGUAAAGGGCGUGCAGGCGGUUCGUUAAGUCUAGGGUGAAAGCUCCCGGCUCAACUGGGAGAGGUCCUUGGAUACUGGCGGACUAGAGGAGGGUAGAGGAGAGUGGAAUUCCCGGUGUAGUGGUGAUAUGCGUAGAUAUCGGGAGGAACACCAGUGGCGAAGGCGGCUCUCUGGGCCCUACCUGACGCUGAGACGCGAAAGCGUGGGGAGCGAACCGG
rnacentral:rRNA from 1 species